rnacentral:rRNA from 1 species
GCUUGUCUCAAAGAUUAAGCCAUGCAUGUCUUAGUGUAAAUAACUCUUAUGAAACUGCGAAUGGCUCAUUAAAUCAGUUAUAAUUUACUGGAUGUAAAAUACUUACAUGGAUAACUGUGGUAAUUCUAGAGCUAAUACAUGCAAAAAAGUCUUGCCGCAAGGCGGACGCAUUUAUUAGACCAAGACCAAGGGUGCCUCGUGUACCUACUGGUGGUGACUCUGAAUAACUUUCUAGCUGAUCGCAUAGCCUUGCGCUGGCGACAUAUCCUUCGAGUAACUGCCUUAUCAACUUUCGAUGGUAGGUUAUUCGCCUACCAUGGUUG